rnacentral:lncRNA from 1 species
CUGGGCAAAGGACUUGAACACACAUUUCUCCUAAGAAGACAUGCAGAUGUUCAAUAAGCACAUGAAAAGAUACUUAAUAUCACUAAGCUUUAGGAAAAUACAAAUCAAACUACAGUGAACUACUACUUCCACUCAUUAGAGCUUUUCAUUUAAAAGAGGGGGAAAAAAAGAAAAUAACCAUUGCUGGUGAGGCUGUGGAAUUAUGGGAUCCUAUGCCAUGUUGAUGGGAAUGUAAAAAUGAUGCAGCAGCCAUGGAGAAUAGUAUGGUGAUUCCUCAAAAAAUUAAAUAUAGAAUUAUCAUAUAAUCCAGCAAUUCCACUUCUGGAAAUACACCCUAAAGCUGGGAAAGCAGGAAUUCAAAGAGAUAGUUAUAUAUCCGUAUCCCCGGCAGCAUGAUUCACAAUUGCCCAAAGGUAGAAGCAACCCAGUAUCCAUCAGGGGAUGAAGGGAUAUAUGAAUUUGGUCUGUCUACACAGUGGAGUAUCACUCAGCCUUCGGGAGGAAGGAAUUUGCACAUACUAACUACAGCGUGGGCGAAGCCUGGGCGUGAUGUCAAGUGAGAUAAGCAAGUUGCAAGAGGACACAUACUGUGUGGCUCCACUUAUGUAAUGUUCCUGGAGUAGCUGAGUCCACAGAGAUAGCAAGCAGAAUGGUGGUUUCCAGGGCUCGGGAGAAAAGAAUGGGGAAGUAGUUUUUAAUGGGCACGGGGUUUCACUUUGAGAAGUUGAAAGGAGUGUUGGAGACGGAUGGUGGCAAUGUCUGCAAAACAGUAUCAAUGUACUUAAUGCCACAGAACCCAACACUUUAAAGCGGUUAAAAUGAUAACAUUUUAUUAUGCGUAUGUAUCACAAUUGCAACAUUUCGUAAAAACCGAGAAUAGCUAUUGAAGAGAAAAAAGUUGCGUUCACAGAUACUCCAUUUCACUAAAACAUGCAAAACCAUCUCGAGUGCCUUCUCUGACUCUUCCUCAUUCUCUUUGUCUUCACCCAUCUCCUUCCUUCCAAAGGCAGAGGAAGAGCGCUGUCCUCUCUCCUCCAAUGAGGCAUAACCCUUAUUCCUUCAUCCAGUGCCUCGCACCGUGGUCAGGCCCGGUGCCCUGGUUGUCUUGUCCCUAAACGUGGGUCCCUGUCACCAUCAGCUGCUUCUUCCCUUUCUAAAGCUGAGCUCCAGGGGCUCCACUGGCCUGAGGAAAGUCUCGGCAUGCUCUCCAUGUGGGCCCCUCUCCUGUCUCUUCCACACGGCAGCUCCCUGCCCGGAACGCGGCUCAAACUCUUCACGGGUCAUUGAUGUCUCCAAAUCCAGGAUCUUCUUCUCAGACCUAAUCCUCUGAGACCUGCUCACAGCAGAUGCUAGCAUUGCUUCCACCCUCUCAUAGAAGGUCAGGGGCUCCCUCGACGUCAGAUCCUGCGCAUCAGAACCCACCCCUGGGUGUCCCCUGGCUCGCAUUCCAUGCCCGAAGCACCCUCUCUCCCUGCCUGAACCUGCAGUGUGCAUGAGCUCCUUCAGAAAAUAAAAGGAAGGGGCUGCCCUUAAGCAACUGUACUGUGAAUGUCGCAGACCAGAGCAGUUGGGAAUCAUCAUAAAUCGUAUGGGUGUGGGGAUUCACAUGCCAGGCCUCGGGGCUCCACUGUCUGAAGGACUCCCUGACCCUCGGUAAGUGCAGGCUACAGGGCUGGCACCUGGGCUCCUGGGGCUGGUCUGUCCCGACUGAGAACGACGCGGUGGCCUUUCUGUCAGGACUCUGCCAUGGCCAUGGUUUGUCUUCAGUGUGUGACGUUGCUGCGUGGUCUAGGCUCUAUGCAGAGGCCUGCCGUGGGCAGCUCGCCUCCCAGGGAUGGCAGAAGAAGGGGACAACUGACCGCUCCCGUGGGACAGGGGCAGGUCAGGGCCCGCACUUGGCUGCAGUAACUUGAGUGGUUCCACAGCAGAGGCCAUGGAGGCUGGGAUUUAGGUUCGAGCCCCAUGCUUUUCCAAACUGCUGAGCCCAGCUCCCAGAGGAGGAAGCGCCCCACCCUGGUCUUGGAGCUGCUGCUCAUCCUCCGCUUUGUGUCCGGCAGCUUUACGCCGUCCUCUCGCCUGGGCCUUGACCCGUCUGACUGGCCUUCCACACCGCCGCCCUCCCACUCUGAAGGGGGCCUAGUGUGCGUGUGCACAUGUGCACAAGCGUGUGCCCUUUCCGCCUCUCCCCGUCUUCUCCCCUUCGCCCCCUGGACUCUGUGAUUCCUGCACACGUCCUUCUGCCGGAGCACGCGGUCUUCUCGCGGCCCCAGAACACAGCGUUCCUGGGCUCUGCCGAAGGGCGGCUCGCUGGAGGGAAGAAGGGCUGGGCUUUGAAAUGGGUUUGGCACACGUGCAGCUUCUGUUGGCCGAUUUUCAGUGUUGUAUCCAGCAUAUGGCUUAGGACUAAUGUUUUUCAUCUUAUUUGUCCACAGUCAGCUGCCAGCUUUUGCAGCUGGGGGCCCCACCACGGCCCCUGGCCCACGUGUAGCCCAGGGCCCCUGCCAAGGGCCCGGCUUGCUGGUCCAGCCCCAGGGCUCCCAGUUCACACAGGUCUGCUCAUCAGAGCUUUUCAAGGAAGACCAGUCGCCCCUGGGUGUUGCUGGCCUGCCCGAGGGGCUGGGCAUGCACAGAAGGGCCAACACACACUUCCUCUGUGCCCGUCACUUUGACUGUGGAACGGUCACUCCGACAGCCCUAGAUCUGGGGCUGAGUCCAAGUGGGCAGAGCAGACUCCUGUUUCAUUAGUGCGUGAAUUCAUGGAUUUCUCUCAAGGGUCUCAAGGGUCCCCUUUGUGAUUCAGUUCCUGUUUGCCCGGGUAUGACAACAGCCUGUUUGUUCCUGAAACUCCGUCCUGGACACUGUUCCAGUUCCAGGCAGGGAGAGUCCCGGUCAGCGCAGGGUGCCGCCCGCCGCACCUGUCCCGGCUCUUCUUGAGAAGUUGCACUUCCUACCGAGCUUGGAUGUCCUUCACCCACAGUCUUCACGGCGGAGGGGAAGCUGCUAUCCGUUCCCUCUAUUUACUUAUCUAUUUUUGUCUUUUUAGGGCCCCACCCAUGGCAUGUGGACGUUCCCAGGCAAGGGGUCAAAUAGGAGCUGCGGCCGCAAGUCUACACCACAGCCACAGCCACAUGGGAUCCAAGUCGUGUCUGCAACUUAACACCAUAGCUCACGGCAACUCCAGAUCCUUAACCCACUGAGCGAGGCUGGGGCUCGAACCCCCAGCCUCAUGGAUACUGGUCAGGCUUGUUACUGCUGAGCCUCGAUGGGAACUCCAUCCCUUUAUUUUAGAAAGAAGCUUUGGCUCUAGUCCUGCAGACACAGAUCAUUAGCGUGUCCUGAAACUUUAAAGGACUAUGCAUGAUCCGCCACACAGAGCUAGAGGCUGGAGAGCUCAGGAGAGACAAACUGCGGCCACCCCCGCCUCCGGCCCCCCUGCCUGGGGACUCCUGGCACUUCUCGGGCUCUAGGCAGAUUGGGGGCAGCCGGGAGGAGACAGGAUUCAUAGCCUCCGUCAAGGAUGUGAUGAACGUGCCAGACACGAGGCCUGGGACGCGACUGAUCCAGGGCCACUGGGGAAAUGUCAACACUAACACGGCACCCGACUCCAGCAUCUGCUCCAUUUGGGGCUUUUGUUUCCGCACAACUCUGAUUACUUGAAACGUUAGGCUGAUGGUUUCACCGUAUAUACGUAGAUCACAAUUUUCCAAGUGCUCUGUUCAAAUAUGGGCCGCUUCGGAGUCGAUUAAACUUUCGUUAAGCUGUUUUAAAAUAAGUCAUAGUCUUAUGGGACAUUUUAAUCCAAAAUAUUUAUUGCAUGUCGAAAGCCAUCCUCUCACCAAUAAAACAUUCCAGAAUCUAUACACAGGACUUAGGAAUUACUUACGAACGAUUGUCACCUGAUUUUUCACUUCAGACCUCUGUGACCCCGGCUUUCUCGUUCGUUAUGUAUACAUGAAGGGUAAGAACGCAGCCCAGAGGCCCAGGAACACCAGUUUAUAGUUACACGCACCCAAACGUACCUGGGAGUCUGCUUUCCCGCACUCCCUGCCCUGCUGUCGACGGCAGGCAGAGGACCGGAUGCGGCAUUUGAAAGGCCUGAUGUCCGGCGCGCUUCUGGUCUGGUUUGCUCUGACGAGCUUGGUCCUCACCCGCCCUCCGCUCCGCUCCUCCGUCCUUGCCUUUUUCCCGACACGCACGGCGCCCAGCUUUUCUGCCAGUGAUGUUCAGGGGUCCCGGCCCAAGAAUCCUUCUUAAUGAGAGCAGACUCCUGGGCCCCUAUGAAAAGAGGCUAGGGUGAGCCCCACACCCCCACUUGACAUUUCUGAUUUAACCCAUGUCACCUCUGACCUCAGCACACUGCCAUUUCUCCCAGUGAGAACAAGGACGCUCUCAGAGUUCCCACUGUGGCUCAGAGAGUUAGGAACCUGACAGAGUCUCUGUGAGGAUGCGGGUUCAAUCCCUGGCCUUGCUUAGUAGGUUAAGGAUCUGAUAUUGUCACAAACUGUGCUGUAGGUCACGGAUGCAGCCCAGAUUUGGCGUUUGCUAUGGCUGUGGUGUAGGCUGGCAGCUGCUGUUCUGAUUUGUUGCCUGGCCUGGGAGCCUCCAUGUGACUCAGGUAAGUAUGGUAAGAAAGAAAAGAAAAGAACAAUACCCGCUCGAUGCGUGGCCAGUCACUGGAGGAUUUUCCCACCUGUGCCGCACUCUGGCCACAUCAGCCUUUCUCUGCUCCGUGAACUCACAUCUCGGUGCUUUGGGGGCAGGAGGUGUGCUAGGAAGGUGUAGUUUAUCCAGAUCUGGACACAAAGGGCACUCUUGAUUUGCUCUUUCGUGGUUUUAUUGCAACACUGGGCCCCUGAGGGCGUGGAUGUCAAAAAGUAAUCUCGGAAAUUCCUGUCAUGGCUCAGCGGUUAAUGAACCCGACUAGUAUCCAUGAGGAUGCGGGUUCAAUCCUUGGCCUUGCUCGGUGGGUUAAAGAUCCGGCAUUGCUGUGAGCUGUGGUGUGGGUCACAGAUGUGGCUGAGAUCCCACGUGGCUGUGGUGUACACCCGUGGCUGCAGCUCCUAUUCAGCCCUUAGCCUGGGAACUUCCAUAUGCUGUGAGUGUAGCCCUAAAAAGGCAAAAAAUAAAAAGUAAAAAAAAAAGUCAUCUCAAGCCUGGUUAACCAGGACAGCAUUCACAGGCACAGCUCUUUCCUUUGGAUAUAGCCAGGGCCAUGGGCAAUUGCCACUGGAUCAGAAAGCCUUUCAGAUUGCAAAUGCGAGAGAUGAAUCCACACGUUCUUAUUUGUUUUCAAGAAAAUGUAAAAAACUUGUUAUUAUUUAAAAUCACAUUUACUGCAACAGGUUACUUUCAAUAGCAGAAGAGCUGUAGUUGCAAACUGACUCAAGCCUCUUUGAUGUUUUUUGAAACCCACAGGCUCUUAGUGGAAGAGGCCCCGGUGGUUAGAGCUGGGUGAAGGGUACAGGGCACUUUCCUGUCUCCCUGCUCCCUGGGUACCCCAUGGGUGCAGUGAGGCACAGACAGGCCUUUGUUCAGCAGCGCGCACACAGACACACAUGCUGGCCCAAAAACACUGAAAGACGAAUUGUCUGCCUGUGAUUAGAGACCACCAGGAGUGAGGGCACUGCUCACUGUCCUUUUAGGCAUUCUGCUCUGGCCUCUCAUGAGACGGUCCCUCAGGAAAAGUCGGUGCUGUUCUAGCAGCAGCAUCCAGCUCACCUUUGAGUCCCACCAGAUAUGAGGCCCCUCCACAUGCAGCUUCCAGACCUGGAAAGAACUGCUAGUGUCUUUUACCUGCUUUGUAGCAACAUUCAGAGGCCAGGAUUUUCUAACCAGUUCAUUCUUCUUAAAUUCCAUUCAUUUCACCCCUGAAAGACCGUUUCUAUACCCAUUAUUCUGAUUACAAACCCUCUAGUGUGACCAGCAAUAAAGACAGUUGAAUCUAGGAGUUCCCUUCAGGGCUCAGUGGUUAACGAACCUGAGUAGGAUCCAUGAGGAUUCAGGUUCGAUCCCUGUCCUCGCUCGUGGGUUAAGGAUCUGGCAUUGUGAGCUGUGGUGUAGGUCGCAGACACGGCUCGGAUCCCACGUUGCUGUGGCUCUGGUGUAGGCUGGCAGCUGUAGCUCCGAUUAGACACCUAGCCUGGGAACUUCCAUAUGCUGUGGGUGCAGCUCUAAAA